AUGCGCCCCGGGGGGCACGGUAAGAAGAGCCGAGCAGAGAGGCUGCCUCCUCUGUCUGUCUGUCCGCUCUGCUCCGCUCGCCUCUUUCUUUCUUCGCCGGCAAGAAGAAGAAGACGCGCUCCCUCCCCCUCCGUCGCCGGCCGACACGCCAUGGCCGCCGGCCGGUUUCUGCCGCUGGCGGGCCGCCGCAUCAUCGCGGCCCUGUCCCAGCCGUCCGCCCCCUCUUCCCGCGGAAUUUUCUUCCCUUCUACUGCGACCGCAGGCUUGAGGUCCCUCCAAACGAUCAUCGAAGCGAGCAGCAAUGUGUCAAAUGAGCGUCGCCAUGACCUGGAGGAUCACAAGACCGGCACCCCGCCGCGGCCAGCUUCGGUCCCUGCGGCAGCGGAGUCGAGCUUCAAGGUCAGAGACGCGUCGACCCUGAAGAUCUCUCCGAGGCACGACAUGGCGAUGAUCUUCACGUGCAAGGUCUGCGAGACGAGGUCCGUGAAGAUGGCCAGCCGGGACUCGUACGACAACGGGGUGGUGGUCGCCCGCUGUGGGGGCUGCAACAACCUGCACCUGAUGGCGGACAGGCUCGGCUGGUUUGGCCAGCCGGGGAGCAUCGAGGACUUCCUGGCGGAUCAGGGGCAGGACGUGAAGAAAGGCGACACGGAUACUCUCAGCUUCACCCUGGAGGACCUGGCCGGGUCUCAGGUCAAAUCCAAGGAACCUUCUGGUGAAAAUUAG
rnacentral:rRNA from 1 species